rnacentral:rRNA from 1 species
ACGAAGGGGGCUAGCGUUGUUCGGAAUCACUGGGCGUAAAGAGCACGUAGGCGGACCGUUAAGUCGGAUGUGAAAGCCUGGAGCUCAACUCCAGAACUGCCUUCAAAACUGGCGGACUUGAGUCUCGGAGAGGUAAGCGGAACUCCUAGUGUAGAGGUGAAAUGCGUAGAGAUUAGGAAGAACACCAGUGGCGAAGGCGGCUUACUGGCCGAGUACUGACGCUCAGGUGCGAAAGCGUGGGGAGCAAACAG